UCUAUUAGACCCAAUCCACAAUAAUCAAAAAGGUUAUUUAUUCAUGGCUUAUGGCCAAUCUCAUUACCAAUCUGGCUUCACGGCCUAUUAGUGUAUUACAUCUGACACCUUUGUUUGGUUAUCUAAGGCAACAACAGACUCAGUCAACCUUGAAGGAAAGUUUGCGUGUGUUACAUAAAACCACUACCUGUCACAUUUUAUACCUUCCAAUGCUUGGUUCAAGCAUGCAGUGCAAGCAGAAUAUUCUUUCUGGCAGGGUGUGCACACUUUGACUCAUUUCAACAUUAUGAAAUAGCCAAAUUACAUGUGUUCAGCAUCAAUGUUCCAAAAGAUGCUAAAAACCCUCUCCGCGAUUGCAACUGAAGAAUCUUGUAUGAUUUGCAAGGAUGACAUAACCUUGUCCGCAAUUGCAUUCGAAGAUUCUUGUUUGAUUUCCAAGAAGAAGGCUUUCAGUUGUCCAGGCCAGGCCAGGUGACCAAUGACGAUGAUAGAUUGGGUUCGAUUCAAGCUAUACGCUUGGUGUAUUUGGUUAUCGU